CGCCAUCAGUCUCCAAUUGGCCGACGGUUAGACCGGUUUUGUCCAAUCCUUUUCUGAUUAUUCAAAAGCGUCAAAUGCCGUGUUAACUCUGGUUUGACGACGAUUGUUGUGCCAGUGCCGCAGCCGGAAUCAGCCGCCUCUAUCGAUCAGGUCAGCCUCGUCGAAAGGUAGACGAGGUGAACAACGAUCGCGAUCCUCAUCACCGGAGACGGGCGUCGGCUCCGGCACCAAAGGAUCCAGCGCGACCAAAGGUCGUCCAUUCGCCAAACCGAUUUCGCGAGCACUCAACAUGAGCGUGACGCAAAAAGUUGUCGGCUGCCUCAGGAGCAACGUCCUGACAAUCCUCAACAUCGCCGGCGUCUUCUCAGGCGUCGUCCUCGCCCUGGCACUCAGGUCGUCGCGCGAGGAGAAAUGGACACAACGAGAAAUUGUUUAUGUUGGUUUUGUAGGUGAUUUGUUUUUACGAAUUCUUAAGUGUCUCAUUCUGCCAUUGAUCGUCUCAUCAAUGACUUCAGCCAUCGGCUCUCUGGACCUUUCCGUGUCGGGACGGAUCGGUACGCGAGCCAUCGUCUACUAUAUGACCACCACCGUCAGCGCUGUCAUUCUGGGUAUCAUCCUCGUCCUGACUAUCCAUCCAGGCGAAGGAUCCGAUGAGGGAAUCGUUCGCGGCGGUUCCGUCCGUCACGUCACCACGGCCGACAUGCUCAUGGAUCUCAUCAGAAACCUGUUCCCACCGAAUUUGGUCCAGGCUUGCAUCGCUCAGUAUAAGACUGUGUUGACACCACCUGCCGACUAUUUGGAGUCUCUAGCCAAUAUGACCAACUCCAAUGGAACCGACGCCGGUAACAUGACCGCCGGAAAGCCAAAGAAAAUCUACGACUGGAAGAUGUCAUCCGACUACGUGGACGCCACCAAUAUCCUCGGACUCAUCGUCUUUUCCACCGUGUUGGGCAUCACGCUCGGCCGGAUGGGAGCCAAGGGCAAGCCGCUCCUCAACUUCUUCGUCUCGAUGAGCGAAGCCGUCAUGAUGAUCACCGGCUGGGUCGUUUGGUUGUCACCGGUAGGUGUCAUGUUUUUGGUGGCCUCCAAGAUGUUGGAAAUGGAGAGCUGGGAAGUCAUGUUGGGACAACUUGGCAUGUACUUUUUCACGGUGAUGAUUGGCCUCUUCAUCCACGGUUUCGUCGUUCUCCAGCUAAUCUACUUCAUUGUGACGCGGAAAUUGCCGUUCCGCUACGUCGGAAACCUCUCCGAAGCUCUGGCCACUGCUUUCGCCACUUCAUCGAGCUCGGCCACUCUACCCGUGGCGCUGAAAUGCUUGGAGGAGAAAAACCAAGUGGAUCCACGAGUGACCCGCUUCGUCAUGCCAAUUGGCGCCACCAUUAACAUGGACGGAACGGCCUUGUACGAAGCCGUCGCCGCCAUCUUCAUCUCGCAAGUGCGUGGUAUUCAUCUGACCAUGGGCAACGUUGUGGCUGUCAGCAUCACCGCCACAGCUGCUAGCAUCGGCGCCCCUGGAAUUCCUCAGGCCGGAAUCGUCGCCAUGGUGAUGGUUCUCGCUACUCUUGGCCUGCCAGCCGAAGACGUCUCCCUCAUCGUGGCUGUCGAUUGGUUUUUGGAUCGCUUCCGGACGUUUACCAAUGUGCUAGGAGAUUCGUUGGGAGCCGGUAUUGUGCACCAUUUGAGCCGUCAUGAGCUGGAAGAGAUGCCGAUCGAACCUGCCACUGGUCGAAGAGAGUCUGAUAUUGAACUGGACGGCCCGCUAGCUGGUGUCGAUCUAGAGAAGGGCGAGUCGAGCUACGGUGGCCCAAGCUCAGGAAUCCCAAUGUUACCUCCGCCGCCGUGGAAGUCGAAUGGCAGUCGACAUCCAUUUAUUAUGUAUCCGGGAAUUUAUUCGGACUGUCUAUGUCUACUGUUUUUAUACAUACCGUGUAUACACACAUCCUAACGCGGGAAUAAGUUAGUUUGGCAACAUCUUUCCAGGCGGACGCGACGCGUUGGCGUUGCAGACGAGUUUAUAAUUGGAACUGCAUGUGAAAGUUUCAGCAUUCGACAACUAACUCUCUGCUCUGCUAGUUUUGUUAGAAUCCACCAGCUUUGUUGAGAAUGCAGUGUCUCAACUCGCAAGUUUCGACGAGUAUCAUAUUGUCAAAGGCCACGUGGUGAAAUUUUAAAUCAAGGCGGGAUGAAACUUUAUUUCCGAGAAAUGAAAGGAUGGUAAAUCCUUCAUACGGCAGAUUGACAUGACUGCCUUUGAAGUAAGGGUGUUGUCCUAAAAGUGCUUUGCGGAAUGUAUAUUGAGUAUUGCUGUGGAGCUUCAAACCAAAUAUGGUGUGAUUGACAAUUAAGAAGUGGUGUUCAAGUCUUGUUGAAUUCUGGAACAUAUUGUGGCUCAUCCAUGAUUGACAGCUUUUCUUGAUGCUUCCAACCAGAAUUCAAUGUGAUGGUUGCUGGCUGCUCUGUGGAUUGGACAUUGCAAACUGGAUUAAACCGGUUAAAUCUCCGGUGGCGAGCUGGAGGAAUACACUGCAGGUCUUGAACUAUU
rnacentral:misc_RNA from 1 species